rnacentral:rRNA from 1 species
UACGGAGGAUGCAAGCGUUAUCCGGAAUGAUUGGGCGUAAAGCGUCCGCAGGUGGCUGUGUAAGUCUGCUGUUAAAGAGUGAGGCUCAACCUCAUAAAAGCAGUGGAAACUACACGGCUAGAGUGCGUUCGGGGCAGAGGGAAUUCCCGGUGUAGCGGUGAAAUGCGUAGAUAUCUGGAGGAACACCGGUGGCGAAGGCGACAUCCUGGACCGGUAUUGACGCUGAGGCGCGAAAGCCAGGGGAGCAAACGGG